GGGGAUGUGGCUCAGUGGUAGAGUGCUUGACUAGUAUACAACAAAGUCCUAGGUUCAAGCCCCAGCACCA
rnacentral:tRNA from 1 species